GUUGAUAUGGCCGAGUUGGU
rnacentral:siRNA from 1 species